rnacentral:rRNA from 1 species
UACAGAGGGUGCAAGCGUUGCUCGGAAUCACUGGGCGUAAAGCGCACGUAGGCGGAUCUUUAAGUCAGGGGUGAAAUCCCGGAGCUCAACCUCGGAACUGCCUUUGAUACUGGGGAUCUCGAGUCCGGGAGAGGUGAGUGGAACUGCGAGUGUAGAGGUGAAAUUCGUAGAUAUUCGCAAGAACACCAGUGGCGAAGGCGGCUCACUGGCCCGGAACUGACGCUGAGGUGCGAAAGCGUGGGAGCAAACAGG